rnacentral:lncRNA from 1 species
AAAGUGAUCCCCGCCCAAGUUAGUCCCAAAAGACAUAUGGGUAAUGUUGGGCCCAAACUCAUAUGACUCGGUUCCAUCUCAAACCCAAGCAAAUCCCGUCCAUCCCGCCCAUUUUGCCACCUCUAUUUAUGCAGAAGGAGAACUAUGGCUUAGCCCUGAAAAAUAGUCUCUAGUUCUUGAAUGGAUUCAAGACUUGUUAAUUUCACAGCAAAUCAAAUCUUCCCCUGUUCUUUCCUAUUAAAACUCUAACUGCUUCCUGCAAAUCUCUCGCGAAAUCAGGAUUACGUCUUUCCUGAUCAUGGUAAUACAAAUUCCAGUUCUUCAAUUCUUCAUCCCUUACCGUUACCACCUUCACAAU